rnacentral:rRNA from 1 species
AACGAACGCUGGCGGCAGGCCUAACACAUGCAAGUCGAGCGCCCCGCAAGGGGUGCGGCCGACGGGUGAGUAACGCGUGGGAACGUACCUUUUGGUUCGUAACAACUCCGGGAAACUGGAGCUAAUACCGGAUCAGCCCUAACGGGGAAAGCUUUAUCGCCGAAAGAUCGGCCCGCGUCUGAUUAGCUAGUUGGAGAGGUAAAGGGUCACCAAGGGGACGAUCAGUAGCUUGGCUGAGAGGAAGGGCAGACACUCUGGGACGGAGAAGCAGCGCAGACUCUUGGGGGAGGCGGCAGUGGGUAAUAUUGGAAAAUGGGGGCAAUCCAGAUCCAGCUAGGCCGGGUGAGUGAUGAAGGCCUGGGGGUUGUAAAGCUCGUUUGUCCGGGAAGAUAAUGACUGUACCGGAAGAAUAAGCCCCGGCUAACUUCGUG